rnacentral:rRNA from 1 species
UACGAAGGGUGCAAGCGUUACUCGGAAUUACUGGGCGUAAAGCGUGCGUAGGUGGUUUGUUAAGUCUGUUGUGAAAGCCCCGGGCUCAACCUGGGAAUGGCAAUGGAUACUGGCAGGCUAGAGUGCGGUAGAGGGUAGUGGAAUUCCCGGUGUAGCGGUGAAAUGCGUAGAGAUCGGGAGGAACACCAGUGGCGAAGGCGGCUACCUGGACCAGCACUGACACUGAGGCACGAAAGCGUGGGGAGGCAAACAGG